rnacentral:antisense_RNA from 12 species
GUCUAUGUGGGACUGUACGAGGCAACCUUCGGGUUGGCCGGUGCUUGGUAGCCGGUUGUUGCAACCUCGUACAGCUCCCGCACCUC